AUUAAAUCAGUGUAAAAAGGUCUUCAAACAAUAUUAUCGUUUAUCGCAAUAAUUUUUGAGACAAUUAAUCGUUCAGCAAAAUUUGCUAUAGUGACAGGCCUAUCAGUAGCUGAUUUUAAACUGGAGAUCUCCAGUUCUGCUGAACUAAUGAACCGAAAUCCUCUGCAGGUCUUCCUCUCCAUCCUCCUCAUCCUCAUCCUCUCCUGUCCUUACCUUUCAGCCAUUCCUCCAGUCCUGAUUAAAGUUUUUCAUCUCGUUAAUUUGCUUCAUUCCUCUUUUUCGCCACUCAUUUUUCUAACUUCUACCCGAUUUAUUUCUACAUCCAGUCUCUGUUGCAGCUGCUCUCAUACCACUCAUCCCUGACCAGCUGUUCUAACUAUCUGUGCUGCCCAUCGAUCUGUGCUACCUGGUGGUGAUGACACGAACAUCACCUUCUGCUGACUCAGCAGAUUUCUUAUCCUUCCUGUGGAAGAUUUGUCUCGUGUUUUAUUUCAUCGCAGAUUACAGUAAGUAUUAUUUCAUUUCUUUUAUUCCAGGCUUUCAUUAAGCUGCUGAAUUACUUCAUGUUUUUACUUUACAUGACAGCAGCUUAUAAAUUUAUCUAUAAAUGGUUUUAGUUUGCCGUCUGCAAAGUGGUUACAGUAAACAAGUUAUUGUUAAUCAGGAUAAAAUAUGUUGUUUUGUAGCUUUUUUGUCCAUAUACUUUAAAACAUUUUAGUUUAAUUGUACUCUUUUUUUUAUUAAACUUUGCUAAAACUUAAUAAAAAGUUAAGUGAUGAUGAGAUAUAUUAAUCAUAUCCCAUCAUUGUGGCUGCUGCUAAUAACAGAAGCUAUGAAACGGAUCAAAGAAUCACUGAUCUGUAUUAGUCUUUCAUUUAAUUCCAAUAAAAACCUGCUUCCCCUGAUCCGGUUUUAUUCUUACAAAUCUCUGUAUUUCAAAUAGUUUCAACAGGUAGGAUAAAAGGAUUAGUGCAAACAUCUCCAGCUUUUCAUUUUAAACAGAAGGAAUGAGACGAGGACUCACCACUAAGCUGCGCGUUGCUUCCUGUGGGAGAGAAAGCAGAUAAUCAGUUCCGGUUCCGACCCGACGGCUUCUUCCUCCGGGCGCGGCCGGGGAAUUUUCAAGAACAGAGCAGGAAUUCAACUUAUUUAAAUUGCAGGUAAACAGGAAAAGGCGAUGAUGAUGUCAGCUGCGCCUCGACAUGCAGCAUAAUUUAGAUUAAUGUUAGAUAGUAGAGAAAUGAAAACGUUCGUUGGUUUGACUGUCAUUUAUUAAUUUCAGUGAAUAAAAGGUAAAUCGAAAAGGAAGAACUGGAAACAUUCAGGCUGUUUUACUGGGCUCCAGUUGAAACGACUGGUGUUCAUUUCCUCUAAAUAAAAACCGGUUUUCUGUUUCAUCAGAUCUUUGCCGGUUCCUUUGUGUUUUAUUUCUGUUCAUGUUUGAGUUUCAUGACGUUUUUCUUCAGUCCUGGUUCCUCCUGUUUCCCGUUGCUCAGAAACCGGUGAGCUCGUCUCCUCCCUUUUCACUCCCUCAAUGAGUUUUUCUCUAAAUUUACUUUUUUUUUUUAUCAAACUGGUUUUUGUUGCUUUUUGGUCUCUGUGCAUCACAUGACAGUUUGGUGAAGAAAAGAUUACAUUUGAACCUUAAAUUGUUAGAAAUUCAUUCAGGGACCCGAGAUUAAAACAUAUUAUUAGAAAUGUGGGAACAGACGAUCCUUAAUUUAAAUCCUUGUGAGCAAUAAUGAAUACCUGAAUAAAAUCAAAGCUUUAAUGUAGUUUGGAAAUCGGAACUUUGAGUUUAAAUGCCCUCAGUUUCGCUCUGACUUGUUUAAAUGCCCGACUUUCAGGUUUGGACUCUGCUGAAUGAAGCUGGAAGCGUCCAUGUUGGUGUGGGGCGGGGAUCACAAGGUUCAACUGGUUGGGCUGGUUUCAGCUUGAAGGCAGACUCUGUUUUCUGAGAAGUUUAUUGUUGACUCUAACUCAUUGUUUGGAGUUUCAGGUAUUUUUGCAUCUAAACCAUCUUGGAUCAAGAUUUCCCAGAAUCCACUCUGUCACCGGCAGACGAAGCGCAGAGAAGAAUUCAAACAUGUUCAGGUCCAACAUCGCAUGAUAACGACAACUGGCUGCUUCUCCUCAUCCUGCACAUUAUCUGACAGAAAAUAAAAUAAUAUAAAAAGUUA